CAAAUGGAGAGUUUGAUCCUGGCUCAGGAUGAACGCUGGCGGCAUGCCUAAUACAUGCAAGUCGAACGGGAUAUCUUCGGAUAUCCAGUGGCGAACGGGUGAGUAACACGUAGGUAACCUGCCCAUGUGCUCGGGAUAACGCCUGGAAACGGGUGCUAAAACCGGAUAGGUAUCGCUUCUGCAUGGAAGAGAUAUUAAAGGAGCUGCAAGGCUCUGAACAUGGAUGGACCUGCGGUGCAUUAGCUGGUUGGUGAGGUA
rnacentral:rRNA from 1 species